AUGAACGCUGGCGGCGUGCCUAAUACAUGCAAGUCGAGCGAACGGACGUGAAGCUUGCUUCUCUGAUGUUAGCGGCGGACGGGUGAGUAACACGUGGAUAACCUACCUAUAAGACUGGGAUAACUUCGGGAAACCGGAGCUAAUACCGGAUAAUAUUUUGAACCGCAUGGUUCAAAAGUGAAAGACGGUCUUGCUGUCACUUAUAGAUGGAUCCGCGCUGCAUUAGCUAGUUGGUAAGGUAACGGCUUACCAAGGCAACGAUGCAUAGCCGACCUGAGAGGGUGAUCGGCCACACUGGAACUGAGACACGGUCCAGACUCCUACGGGAGGCAGCAGUAGGGAAUCUUCCGCAAUGGGCGAAAGCCUGACGGAGCAACGCCGCGUGAGUGAUGAAGGUCUUCGGAUCGUAAAACUCUGUUAUUAGGGAAGAACAUAUGUGUAAGUAACUGUGCACAUCUUGACGGUACCUAAUCAGAAAGCCACGGCUAACUACGUG
rnacentral:rRNA from 1 species